CCUACGGGAGGCAGCAGUGCGGGAUGUUGUGCAAUGGGGGCUACCCUGACGCAGCGACGCAGAGUGGAUGAUGAAGGCCUUCGGGUCGUAAAAUCUAGUCAGAUGGGAAGAAGUGUGCGAUGGUUACUACCCAUUGGCAUUUGUACGGUACCAUCUAAUG
rnacentral:rRNA from 1 species